rnacentral:rRNA from 1 species
GGAAAAAGCUCAAAUUAAAAUCUGGCGGUCCUUCGGCCGUCCGAGUUGUAAUCUGGAGAAGCGUUUUCCGCGCUGGACCGUGUACAAGUCUCUUGGAACAGAGCGUCAUAGAGGGUGAGAAUCCCGUCUUUGACACGGACUACCAGUGCUAUGUGAUGCGCUCUCGAUGAGUCGAGUUGUUUGGGAAUGCAGCUCAAAAUGGGUGGUAAAUUCCAUCUAAAGCUAAAUAUUGGCGAGAGACCGAUAGCGAACAAGUACCGUGAGGGAAAGAUGAAAAGCACUUUGGAAAGAGAGUUAAACAGUACGUGAAAUUGCUGAAAGGGAAACGAUUGAAGUCAGUCGCGUGUGCUAGAACUCAGCCUUGCUUUUGCUUGGUGCAUUUUCUAGUGUACGGGCCAGCAUCAGUUUUGGCCGCCGGAAAAAGGCCUUGGGAAUGUGGCACCUUCGGGUGUGUUAUAGCCCUUGGUUGUAUACGGUGGCUGGGACUGAGGAACAUAGCAUGCCUUUACGGCGGGGCUUCGGCCACCUUCAUGCUUUGGAUGCUGGCGUAAUGGCUUUAAACGACCCGUCUUGAAACACGGACCAAGGAGUCUAACAUGCCUGCGAGUGUUUGGGUGGAAAACCCGAGCGCGUAAUGAAAGUGAAAGUUGGGACUUCUGUCGUGGAAGGCACCGACGCCCGGACCAGACCUUCUGUGACGGAUCCGCGGUAGAGCAUGUAUGUUGGGACCCGAAAGAUGGUGAACUAUGCCUGAAUAGGGUGAAGCCAGAGGAAACUCUGGUGGAGGCUCGUAGCGAUUCUGACGUGCMAUUCGAUCGKCMAAUUUGGGUWUARGGG